rnacentral:rRNA from 1 species
AAUUGCAGGACACAUUGAACAUCGAUAUCUUGAACGCACAUUGCGGCCUCGGGUCAUUCCCGAGGCCACGCCUGUCUCAGGGUCG